rnacentral:rRNA from 1 species
ACGAAGUAGCAAUACUUAGUGGCAGACGGGUGAGUAACAUGUAGGUAUCUGCCCUUUGGCCUGGAAUAACACGAGGAAACUUGUGCUAAUACCGGAUAAGUCUUUACGGAGAAAGCUUUAUGCACCAUUGGAUGAGCCUGCACUUGAUUAGUUUGUUGGUAGGGUAAUGGCCUACCAAGACUUUGAUCAAUAGCUGAUUUGAGAGGAUGAUCAGCCACAUUGGGACUGAGACACGGCCCAAACUCCUACGGGAGGCAGCAGUGGGGAAUCUUGCACAAUGGAGGAAACCCUGAUGCAGCGAUGCCGCGUGAGUGAAGAAGGCCUUUGGGUUGUAAAGCUCUUUCGUCGGGGAAGAAAAUGACUGUACCCGAAUAAGAAGGUCCGGCUAACUUCGUGCCAGCAGCCGCGGUAAUACGAAGGGACCUAGCGUAGUUCGGAAUUACUGGGCUUAAAGAGUUCGUAGGUGGUUGAAAAAGUUGGUGGUGAAAUCCCAGAGCUUAACUCUGGAACUGCCAUCAAAACUUUUCAGCUAGAGUUUGAUAGAGGAAAGCAGAAUUUCUAGUGUAGAGGUGAAAUUCGUAGAUAUUAGAAAGAAUACCAAUUGCGAAGGCAGCUUUCUGGAUCAUUACUGACACUGAGGAACGAAAGCAUGGGUAGCGAA